rnacentral:sRNA from 1 species
GCUGGGCGCAGUGGCUUUGCCUGUAAUCCAGCAGCUUGGGAGGCUGAGGCAGGAGAAUAGCGAGUUCAAAGCCAGCCUCAG